GUAACGCCGCGAAAGAGAAAGAGGAAGCGAUUUGCAUAUAUGAGAGUGAUCCAAGAGCAUCCUAGGAUAUUAUAAUAAUCCUUCAUUGAAGCCCAUCCAUCAGUAAAAUAAUAAACCCUUCCAUUCUUCUUUUCGACCUUCACCUUGAUAUAGUUCUUCAACCAAUCUAAACAGAAACUCACAACCCCAUUUAGUUCUUCAACUAUUUUUAACUAAAGGUAGAAACUUUUCAAAACAAAAAUUAAGAAAAAACCAAUCUAACAAACGAUAUAGUUCAAAAUGUCACAAAUGAAUAGAGAAACCAACGAUUUUAAGUUGAAAAGUUCAUAACUUUCUUCUACAAACUUAGAAUCCAUUUUGAUAGAACCAUCAAGUAAGAUAAAUUCUGACCUAAUAGAAGAGGUAUUGAAGAUUCAAUUGAGAGAAAAAAAAAAUGUUUUGCAAAGAUAAAGUUGUGGUGGAGAUUUCUAAACCUUAACAAAUUGAUAGAAAUUAGAGAAAAAUAGUGAGAGAUGGAGUACCUAAAACUGAUACAAAAUAUUCCAUCUAAACCAUGUACUCCAAUCCUUACACUCCGAAUCUCCG
rnacentral:lncRNA from 1 species